UCGUAAAUGCGUCUAUUUUAGAAUUUACGUCAACAAAUAUGGUUGAAUGCUGUGGAUAAAAACCGUUUAAAGGAGACGGCUUCUUUUUUUGCUUUACAUUGAUUUCCAAUCUCAAGCAAAUAUGAAACACUUUUCAGCCGUUGUUUUGUGUUGCCUCGUAAUCUUGGUUUGCCAAGCCCAAGCGUUCCACAGUCAUCAUCAUUUCCAAGGUGGCCCAGGAGACCAAUAUCAUGCAGGUGGAGGAGGAGGAGGCUGUGCUCCCGCAAACUGUCCAUCAUUCUGCAGCAUAGGAAUGAGACCUAAUGGUUGUCCAGAAUGUUUAUGUAUUGAAAACUGACAGAUUCUACAAGCUGCGAAUUAGUGAAGAAAGUGUACACUACGCUUUUUGAAUGAAAAUUCUCCAAACUCAAAAAUAAUAAUAAUAAUUUUAUAAAACGAGGCAUUUGUUGCCACAAAGUCCCAAUUAACAGGAAAUUUGAAAUAAAGUCAAAAGUUGUAAGAUGUUUUUAAGCAUUUCUCAAUAAAGUAUCGUUUGCUUUUAA